UUGGAAAGAGGAGUGGCGGACGGGUGAGUAACACGUGGGUAACCUACCCAUCAGAGGGGGAUAACACUUGGAAACAGGUGCUAAUACCGCAUAACAGUUUAUGCCGCAUGGCAUAAGAGUGAAAGGCGCUUUCGGGUGUCGCUGAUGGAUGGACCCGCGGUGCAUUAGCUAGUUGGUGAGGUAACGGCUCACCAAGGCCACGAUGCAUAGCCGACCUGAGAGGGUGAUCGGCCACACUGGGACUGAGACACGGCCCAGACUCCUACGGGAGGCAGCAGUAGGGAAUCUUCGGCAAUGGACGAAAGUCUGACCGAGCAACGCCGCGUGAGUGAAGAAGGUUUUCGGAUCGUAAAACUCUGUUGUUAGAGAAGAACAAGGACGUUAGUAACUGAACGUCCCCUGACGGUAUCUAACCAGAAAGCCACGGCUAACUACGUGCCAGCAGCCGCGGUAAUACGUAGGUGGCAAGC
rnacentral:rRNA from 1 species